GAUGAACGCUGGCGGCGUGCCUAAUACAUGCAAGUCGAGCGAACAGACGAGGAGCUUGCUCCUCUGACGUUAGCGGCGGACGGAUGAGUAACACGUGGAUAACCUACCUAUAAGACUGGGAUAACUUCGGGAAACCGGAGCUAAUACCGGAUAAUAUAUUGAACCGCAUGGUUCAAUAGUGAAAGACGGUUUUGCUGUCACUUAUAGAUGGAUCCGCGCCGCAUUAGCUAGUUGGUAAGGUAACGGCUUACCAAGGCGACGAUGCGUAGCCGACCUGAGAGGGUGAUCGGCCACACUGGAACUGAGACACGGUCCAGACUCCUACGGGAGGCAGCAGUAGGGAAUCUUCCGCAAUGGGCGAAAGCCUGACGGAGCAACGCCGCGUGAGUGAUGAAGGUCUUCGGAUCGUAAAACUCUGUUAUUAGGGAAGAACAAAUGUGUAAGUAACUAUGCACGUCUUGACGGUACCUAAUCAGAAAGCCACGGCUAACUACGUG
rnacentral:rRNA from 1 species